AUGCACGCUAGCUACCGGCUUCACACAUGCAAGUCGCGGGGAAGCGACAUCGAAAGCUUGCUUUUGAUGGGCGUCGACCGGCGCACGGGUGAGUAACGCGUAUCCAACCUGCCCAUCACUUGGGAAUAACCUUGCGAAAGUAAGACUAAUACCCAAUGACAUCCCACGAAGACAUCUGAAUGGGAUUAAAGAUUUAUCGGUGAUGGAUGGGGAUGCGUCUGAUUAGCUUGUUGGCGGGGUAACGGCCCACCAAGGCAACGAUCAGUAGGGGUUCUGAGAGGAAGGUCCCCCACAUUGGAACUGAGACACGGUCCAAACUCCUACGGGAGGCAGCAGUGAGGAAUAUUGGUCAAUGGGCGAGAGCCUGAACCAGCCAAGUAGCGUGCAGGAUGACGGCCCUAUGGGUUGUAAACUGCUUUUAUAAGGGAAUAAAGUGGGUCUCGUGAGACUUUUUGCAUGUACCUUAUGAAUAAGGACCGGCUAAUUCCGUG
rnacentral:rRNA from 1 species